rnacentral:rRNA from 1 species
CACGUAGGGUGCGAGCGUUGUCCGGAAUUAUUGGGCGUAAAGAGCUCGUAGGCGGUGUGUCGCGUCGGCCGUGAAAACCUGCAGCUUAACUGUGGGCUUGCGGUCGAUACGGGCAUCACUGGAGUUCGGCAGGGGAGACUGGAAUUCCUGGUGUAGCGGUGAAAUGCGCAGAUAUCAGGAGGAACACCGGUGGCGAAGGCGGGUCUCUGGGCCGAUACUGACGCUCAGGCACGAAAGCGUGGGGAGCAAACAGG